GUGUUUCCUCAGCUGCAGUGCAAGUGGGGCAUGCUCCGUUGAGACUUUAUUCACUCUGGGCAGUUUGUUGAAGAUUAGGUGGUCAGCUCACAAUGAAUCAUAAGCUGCUUUUGUCCCUUGCUGUCUAUGCUUAGAAGCUAAAAGGUUAAGCAGCGAUGUCAGCGCUAUCAGGGAGCUGUGGAGACUGGAAUUGAAGUUCAGAACCUUUCAUGGGAGACAGCUCAGAGAUGACCUACCCAUAGAAGAGAAAUCUGGCAGUCUGGCCACAGCAGCUUUGCUGACCUGCAGUGGGAUCCGACCAGUUGGAACUUCCCAGCGGCUUUGUUUACACUGUGAGCUGUGGAGCAUAAAACUGCCUACUCAAGCCUCAGCAAUGGUGGACGCCCCUCCCCACACCAAGCUCAAAUGUCCUGGGUAGAUCUCAGACUGCUGCUGUGCUGGCAGUGAGAAUUUCAAGCCAGUGGAUCUUAGUUUCCUGGGCUCCGUGGGGUUGGGACCUGCCAAGCCAGACCACUUGGCUCCCUGGCUUCAGCACCCCUUUGCAGGGGAGUGAACGGUUCUGUCUCACUGGCGAUCCAGGUGCCACUAGGGUAUGGAAAAAAAGAACUCCAGCAGCUAGUUCACUCACUGCCCAAAUGGCCGCCCAGUUUUAUGCUUGAAACCCAGGGUCCUGGUGGGGUAGGCACUGGAGGGAAUCUCCUGGUUUGUGAGUUGUGAAGACCAUGGGAUAAGCGCAGUAUCUGUGCUGGAGUUCCUCAGGCUCAGUCCCUCAUGGCUUCCCUUGGGUAGGGGAGAAAAAUCUCCCGAUCCCUUGCGCUUCCCAGGAGAGGCGAUGCUCCGCCCUGCUUCAGCUCACCCUCGGUGGGCUUCACCCACUGUCCUACCAGUCCCAGUGAGAUGAACCGGGUACCUCAGUUGGUAAUGCAGAAAUCACCCACCUUCUGCAUCGAUCUCACUGGGAGCUGCAGACCGGAGCUGUCCCUGUUUGGCCAUCUUGCCACAGGAUCAUCAAAGAUUUUAUAUGCAUACACAUACAUAAAUGUAAAAUCUAUUUUAUCUUCUUUUACACUAAGGCACUUGAAUUUGGAUUAUUUUAUACUUAGCAAUAUAGCUUGAAAGUUUUUUAUAUUAGCUUAUACAGAGUUUUGUUGUUGUUGUUGUUUCUUCAGCUGCAUAGUGCAGCAUUCCAUUGUGUGACUCUAUUAUACUUUAGCUAUUUGGGGUAUAUCUUAUAUUAUUAUACAUGAUGCUGCAAUUAUAUUUUGGAGUUGCCAUAUUAAAAUGCAUUGCUCUUCCUUGACAUUUGUCUUAAUCAACAUUUCUAACAGCAAUGUAUGAAUGUAACUGUUUCUUCACAAUUUAGUCCACUUUGUUCAUUAUCAAGCUUUUGUAUUUUUCAAAUCUAAUAAAUUAAAAAUGGUAUCCCAGCAUAGUUUAUAUAUAUAUGUGUGUAUAUAUACACACAUAUAUACUCAUACAUAUAUACACAUAUACACACAUAUAUACAUAUAUUUGUGUACAUAUAUAAAAUAAAUAAAA
rnacentral:lncRNA from 1 species